ensembl:Mt_tRNA
GUUUUUGUAGUUGAAUGACAACAAUGGUUUUUCAUGCCAUAGGUUAUGGUUAGAGUCCAUGCUAAAAUAAUGAAAAUA